GACGAACCGUGCGAACGUUGUUCGGAAUCACUGGGCUUAAAGGGCGCGUAGGCGGUUUGCCAAGUCAGGGGUGAAAUCCUGCAGCUCAACUGUAGAAGUGCCUUUGAUACUGGCGAACUCGAGGGAGAUAGGGGUGGGUGGAACUUCUGGUGGAGCGGUGAAAUGCGUUGAUAUCAGAAGGAACGCCGGUGGCGAAAGCGACCCACUGGAUCUCUUCUGACGCUGAGGCGCGAAAGCUAGGGGAGCAAACGGG
rnacentral:rRNA from 1 species